GACGGGACCCGCACAAGCAGCGGAGCAUGUGGUUUAAUUCGAAGCAACGCGAAGAACCUUACCAGAUCUUGACAUCCAAUUGACCAUCUUUUAAUCGAGAUUUUGCCUUCGGGUACAAUUGAGACAGGUGGUGCAUGGUUGUCGUCAGCUCGUGUCGUGAGAUGUUGGGUUAAGUCCCGCAACGAGCGCAACCCUUGUGUUUAGUUGCAAACAGGUCAAGCUGUGCACUCUAGACAGACUGCCGUGGACAACACGGAGGAAGGUGGGGAUGACGUCAAAUCAUCAUGCCCCUUAUGAUCUGGGCUACACACGUGCUACAAUGGCCGGUACAACGGGCAGCGAAGGAGCGAUCCGGAGCGAAUCCUAAGAAGCCGGUCCCAGUUCGGAUUGCAGGCUGAAACUCGCCUACAUGAAGUUGGAGUUGCUAGUAAUCGCGAAUCAGAAUGUCGCGGUGAAUGCGUUCCCGGGUCUU
rnacentral:rRNA from 1 species